CCUUCCUACGGGAGGCAGCAGUGGGGAAUAUUGGACAAUGGGGGCAACCCUGAUCCAGCCAUGCCGCGUGAGUGAAGAAGGCCCUAGGGUUGUAAAGCUCUUUCGCCGGAGAAGAUAAUGACGGUAUCCGGAGAAGAAGCCCCGGCUAACUUCGUGCCAGCAGCCGCGGUAAUAGUAAUA
rnacentral:rRNA from 1 species